rnacentral:rRNA from 1 species
GCUAGCGGCAGGCCUAACACAUGCAAGUCGAGGGGUAACAGGAAAGCUUGCUUUUGCUGACGACCGGCGCACGGGUGCGUAACGCGUAUGCAACCUACCUCAUACUGGAGCAUAGCCCUUGGAAACGGGGAUUAAUACUCCAUGGUAUCAUGAAUUCGCAUGUUUUCAUGAUUAAAGAAUUUCGGUAUGAGAUGGGCAUGCGUCCCAUUAGCUAGUUGGUGAGGUAACGGCUCACCAAGGCGACGAUGGGUAGGGGGCCUGAGAGGGUGGUCCCCCACACUGGUACUGAGACACGGACCAGACUCCUACGGGAGGCAGCAGUGAGGAAUAUUGGUCAAUGGAGGCAACUCUGAACCAGCCAUGCCGCGUGAAGGAUGACGGCCCUAUGGGUUGUAAACUUCUUUUAUAUGGGAAGAAACUUAUCUACGUGUAGAUAACUGACGGUACCAUACGAAUAAGGAUCGGCUAACUCCGUGCCAGCAGCCCGCGGUAAUACGGAGGAUCCAAGCGUUAUCCGGAUUCAUUGGGUUUAAAGGGUCCGUAGGCGGAUUUUUAAGUCAGUGGUGAAAGCCGACAGCUCAACUGUCGAACUGCCAUUGAUACUGGAGAUCUUGAGUACAAAUGAAGUA